rnacentral:misc_RNA from 1 species
GAGAGAGGGGAGGUUGUCCUUUGCUUUACAGUCUGUAGUUACUCACUCUCACAGUGUCACCAAUCAACACUCUCCACCUGACCUCUAAACCGCCAUUUUUAACGGACUUUUUCCUUUCUCUCUCUACAGAGGAAAAGAAAAACCCUAGCCCUUCUCCAUCUCUCUCUCUCUCUUUCUGAUUUCGCAUUCUAGCGUUUCGAGUUCUGAAAUGAAUCAUUAGAGUGUUUCGUUUCUGCUUCUUCUUUCACUAAAUGAGUCUCGGUUGUUUCGUUCUGUUUCUCUGCUCUCUCUCUUUGCUCUUUUACUUCACUCCUUCAGCUUCUCAGUCCGAUCCAUUGGAGCUCCGAUCGUUACUUGAGUUCAAGAAGGGUAUCCAGUACGACCCGCUUGAUAGAAUCAUAUCAGCAUGGAACUCAUCCAAUCUAACCAACCAGAGCUCCUGCCCCGACUCGUGGCCCGGCAUCACUUGCGAUUCGACUGCCAAUUCAGUCACCGGCAUUAUCCUCGACCGCCUGAGUCUUUCCGGUGACCUCAAGUUUUCGACUUUGCUCAACCUUAAGUCCCUUCAGAACUUGUCUCUCUCUGGUAACCGCUUCACGGGUCGACUUGUACCCACAUUGGGUUCCAUGAGCUCACUCCAGCACUUGGAUCUGUCAGACAAUCAAUUUUCUGGGCCGAUCCCGGGUCGGAUCUCUGAGUUGUGGAACUUGAAGUACAUAAAUUUGUCAACGAAUGGUUUUGAAGGUGGAUUUCCGGUUGGGUUGCCAGUCCCGUUCAGAAAUUUGCAGCAAUUGAGGGUAUUGGAUUUGCAUUCUAAUAAGCUUAGAGGCAAUGUUCGCGAGGUGUUAAGUGAAUUGAUUAAUUUGGACCAUUUGGAUUUGAGCGAUAAUGAGUUUUAUGGCGAGCUUAGUGGCCUUGGUGUGGAGAACGUGUCUGGUUUGGCUAAUACGGUGCAUUUUGUCAACUUCAGCAGAAAUAGUUUGACCGGUGGGUUUUUGAAAGCAGAGGUGAUUGGAUUAUUUAGGAGUCUGGAGGUUUUGGAUUUAAGUAACAAUGCGAUUAAUGGGGAGUUACCUUCAUUUGGGUCUAUGCUGCAUUUGAGGGUAUUGAGAUUGGGGAAUAAUCAGUUGUUUGGGGCUAUUCGCGAGGAAUUGUUAAAUGGGUCGAUGCCAAUUGAAGAAUUGGAUCUUAGUGGCAAUGGAAUUUCAGGUAGUGAAAUCUUCAUUUCUGUUUGUAAUAAUUGUGUUUUUGAAUUGUUGCAUGUGCAGAUUUUUCUUUUUUUGUUAGAAUUUGAUUGGAUUAUCUAGUCAACUGAAGUAAUAAUUAUGAUUAACUUCAAGUAAUUUUAAGGCUAUAUAUAUUUUUAAAUGUGAUAUUAUUAUUUAAAAUUGCUGGUUUGAUUGAUGCAGAGAUCCUGGAAUUUGACUCUUCCUCCUUUUUUGGUUUGAUUUUUUCCCCCUCUGAAGGUGACUUUAUUUGUUAUGAUUUGUCUGACUUGCCUAUUUUUAGGGUUAGGAUUGGCGUGGGCAAAACAAUGUUCACUUUCCAAAGACGGGGAUAGAUUUGUAUAGUCUGUGGGUUAGCAUCGUAAAAAUUUUCAAUACAUUAAGUUGCAAUUUUGAGUUGGAACAAAUUUACGUGUAGUGUUUGAUCAUCAACUUUGUUCCAUCGCUUUCUAUACGUAUUUACACAAUCUAAUUAGUUAGAUCUUUUUGGUAAGAGCAAAGAGUUCAAAGGACUUGAAAAGAGGAUACAGAUUCACAUGGAAUUACUUUACUAACCUGAAUAAAAGGUAAACAUUUCUUGACGUUUGGUGUUGAACGCUAUCAAAAGUUAAAUGGCUGUGGGCAUCUAGAUUCUUUUCUUCCAUCAUGACUUCUCCUAUAUCUGCUAUGUCUGAUAUUUCAACAUUUAUAUCUGUACACGUUCUAUACAAGUAAUUAGUUCAUCUGCGGCUGACUUAUAGCUGUAGGGUGUCUAUCUGAUGUUAAGCAUUUAUCUAUUUGCAGAUUCUAUUCCUGGAAUUAAUUCUACAACUCUGAAUAUUUUGAAUCUCUCUUCGAAUGGUUUAUCUGGUCCUUUGCCCACUUUUCUUAAGAGAUGUACAGUUGUGGAUUUGAGUAGAAAUAAUCUCUCUGCUGACAUGUCUGUUAUGCAGUAUUGGGAAGCCACUCUAGAGGUUCUUGAUUUGAGUUCAAACAAGUUGUCAGGAAGUUUGCCAAACUUAACUUCCCAGUUUUUUAGAUUAAGCAAACUCAUUCUUAGAAAUAAUUCCCUAGAAGGUAAUUUGCCCCUUCAAUUGGGGGAUAGUCCAGGAUUAUCUGCAAUUGAUCUCAGUUUAAAUCAACUCAGUGGGCCUAUUCCAAGUGGUUUGUUUACUUCAAUGACCUUGACAAACCUGAAUCUUUCAAGAAAUCAGUUUACAGGACCAAUUCCACUGCAAGGCUCACGAGUGGGUGAAUUGUUAUUUUUGCCUUCUUAUCCAAAGAUGGAGUCUCUUGAUCUUUCCUACAAUUCCUUGACAGGUGGGUUGCCUUCAGAUAUAGGUAACAUGGGAAGUCUCAAAUUGCUGAAUCUUUCAAACAACGGCUUAUCAGGAGAGCUGCCAAUUGAAUUGAGUAAACUUGCCUACUUGCAGUACCUUGAUUUAUCUGGCAACAAAUUUAAGGGUGAAAUCCCUGAUAAGCUUCCAUCCAGCCUAAUUGGAUUCAAUGUAUCCUAUAAUGAUCUAAGUGGCACUGUUCCGGAAAACUUGAGAAGAAAAUUUGACAUUUCUUCAUUUCAUCCUGGAAAUUCAUUGCUGGUCUUUCCAGAUGGCCUGCCAUCAACAAAUUCUGUUCCAGAUCAGCUUCCUGCCCAUGGUAAACAUCACAGUUCAAAACGUGGUGUUACAAUAGGAAUAAUUGUUGGUGUAGUUGUAGCUACUCUUACAAUCUUGGUUUUAUUGGCCUAUCACCGAGUGCAGCAAAAAGAAUUUCUUGGAAGAAGUGGAUUUGUAGGCCAAACUACAGUGGAAGAUGCUAAGGUUGAAAGAUCUACAAGAUCUUCUCUUUUCAAAUUCCAAUCAAAUGUUCACCGCGCACCAACUUCGUUGAGUUUUUCAAAUGAUCACUUGCUUACUUCAAAUUCAAGGUCAUUAUCUGGGCAGACAGAGUUUCCAAAUGAAAUUGUUGAGCAUGAUUUACCUGGGGGUGUGGCGGCCAUCUCAGCGCCUUUCAAUCCUAAUGUGCUAGAGAGUUGUCCCACAACAUCUGGAAGGAAAUCCUCCCCAGGCUCUCCGUUGACUUCCUCACCCCGUUUUGUUGAGCCACGCGAACAAUCUGUGAAGUUAGAUGUCUAUUCACCAGAUCGGUUGGCUGGAGAACUAUUCUUCCUUGAUACUUCACUAGCAUUUACUGCUGAGGAGUUAUCUCGAGCUCCAGCUGAAGUUCUUGGCAGAAGCAGCCAUGGAACUCUGUACAAAGCAACUCUAGAUGGCGGACAUAUGUUGACUGUGAAGUGGUUGCGGGUGGGACUGGUUAAACAUAAGAAAGAAUUUGCUAAGGAAGUUAAAAGAAUAGGAUCUAUAAAGCAUCCAAAUAUUGUUCCAUUGCGAGCUUAUUAUUGGGGCCCUAGAGAGCAGGAGAGACUUCUUCUAGCAGACUAUAUUCAUGGAGACAGCUUGGCCCUACAUCUCUAUGGUAAGCAUUUUUAUUUCCUUCUAACUUUUUGUAUUUAUCUUGUCAUAAUUUGCUUGCUUAAAAUUAUCUUGAAAAUUUCAGUAGGAGGUAUAAUGAAAAGGAAUUACAUUAUUGCUGCAUUUUGGCUGUUUUAUGGUUUUUCAACUUAUUCAUCUUUUUGAGCUAGGUAAGUCAUGGCAACACUUGUUCUAAGACCUAUUCAUGUCGGGGUUUAUAAACUUCAGGUUGUACCUUAGUUGAACUUGUUACACAAAAUACAAUUUAUUUUACUACAAGAUAUACUAUUAAAAAUUUCAUUUUUCAUAUUUUUGUAGCUUUUAUGGCACAAUUGAUAUUUGCAUAUUCAUGGAAUACUAAGACCAUGAUGUGGCACAUUGCUGAACCUAGCCGUCUGCAACUUGAAUGUUUUCUAGUUUAGUCUUGAAUUGUUAUAUAUCUAUGCAUAGUCUACUGUUGAAGUUUGCAACAAUUUGGUUCUUUCCAAUAAUUUGGUUCUUUAUUACAUUGUCUCAGCCAAACAAUGUAACCAACAAAAAGAAUGUCUGGUCCUGGUUGUUGCCCUUGUUAUGGAUUGGUUAGUUUUACCUCCAGAAUAGAUUAAGUAGGAACCUACAUCUAGACACUACAUAUUUUUGAUACUAUCAUGGCUUUUUUUCCAUCAGUUGCCUCAAAACCUCUUCAUUCAUACUGGGCUUUCUUGUCAUGCAAACAACAAAGGAACUCCAUAUUGGAAAUUAAUGAUUUUAGCAUGUUAUUAUUCACACUAAUGUAGCGGUGUUAUUUUUAUUAAUCAGGAGUAUUUCAGCAAUUUCACAAAUUAUCUGAAUUUGGAUUGGCUUCAGUAUCUUGGUUGUUAAUAACUGUUUCAUUCAUGCGCACUAGCCUUCUUCAACCUCCAGAGAGAGAGAGAGCUUUGCUUGAAAUCAUCAGAGAAAUUGAGAGUGAAGGAAGAGAAAAA